UAUAUAGAGUAUCGAGGAGUUGUCCGUUGGGGUUGGCAUGUUGGAGGACAGGGCUAAUGUCUGGUUCGAAAAUAAUUAUCUUAAAUUAAAUUUAGACAAGACCCAGAGUAUUGUGAUUUCCUCCAAUUGCUUGGUAAAUAGUGGACAUUCCGUCAAGUUGCUUGGCAUUAGGAUCGAUGAUAGUCUAAAUUGGAAACAACAUAUCUCAGACCUGAAAAAUAGAUUGUCCAGCAACAUAUUCGUUUUUCGACGACUGAGAGGCCUGAUGGGAACAAGGACUCUGCUUAUGGUCUAUUUUUCUUUGUUGCAUUUACACCAUGCUAUGGCACGGUACUGUGGGGUGAUUCCUCAGCUGCUGUGACUAGGGACCAUUGUCAACCUUAUUUUAAAAAAUUCAAAGUGAUGCGCCUUCCUUGCAUCUAUAUCUACUACCAGUUAUUAGAGAUACAGAGAACGAAAGGAAACUUUAGCGCUAAUUCCGAUUGCCAUGCCUAUUCAACUCGUUCGGGGGAUCUCCUCUCCUAGGUUUAGACUGAGGAAGUCUGAGAACAACUCAUUGAACGUGAAAUUGUAUAAUGUUUUGCCAGGUACCGUGAAAAAGAUGAGCAAUAGGAAAUUUAAACAUACUAUUAAAGAAUUCCUGCAACGUCAUUGUUUUUACUCCCUGCGAGCAUACAUUGACAGUGUCACUGGUAUCGAUGCGCUAUAAAACUGUAUAGUACUGUCUAAUUUUGUUUGUAUUAGAUGUGUGUUUUUAGCAAGUUUUUACUAAAACUGGCUAUGGAAAAUAAGUGUGCAGUUAUUAGUGAUGAAUCUAUAAAUGUUACCAUGGCAUCUGAUAGUCUGGUGCAAGUAAGUAUUCGUGCGAAUUAUUCCACGCCUACUUUUUUCCAUCCGUUUCCUUAAAGUAAUUUUUAUAUUGUGAGUAAAAUACAGAAAUUUAUUUGUAUUUUAAUAAAUUUGGGGCAAACAGCAAUUUUUUACUUCAAAUUAGCAAUUAGAACAUUAUUCUUGGGAUACCGCAGAUGUAGUAUCACCUGUUCCCACUAUGCCAGACAUACCCACACCAGAUCAGUUUAGCCUCAGCAGUAGUUCUUCAGAGAAUGACAAUACAUCUAGGUACUUAUUACAUUACAUUAUAUUACAUUAUAUUACAUUCGACAUUAUAUUACAUUCGAUUUACUCUCAAGAGCAAUUGGCCUAGGUUCAGAAUUUAUUAUUAAUACAAAUAUAUCUUUUAGAAACUCUGUGGCGUCGAUCAUACCUCCAACUGAUUUGGAUUUGAGCGAGAUAAGUUUGAAAGAAUUUAACUCACACAUAUCUUCAAAAUAUACCAAAACUUGGAAUUCCUAUUCAAAUAAUAAUAGGACUCCAAAAAAUCACCUCCCGUGCUAAAGAAAAGGGACAUAAGUGAUGACGAUAUGCAAUGCAGUGAUUUUGAAGAUUCUGGUUCAGAAUAUAGACCAUCAUCUAGUGCUAGCGAAUCUACAGAAUCAUUUGUAUCUGUUAACAGAAAUCGUUCGUGCGACCAAGUAAAGUGUUAUAAAGGAAAAGUAAAUAACUCCGUAAAAUCACCAGAUAUAUUAAUACCAAUAGACCAACAAAAUAAUCAGCCAAUAACUAAAGAGAUUUCACAAAAAAUACCGAACAAUUAUGACAUUCUACAUCCACCGGACAUUUUUCAGGAUGAUAACCAGCGUUAUGUUAAGAAAUCUUCCGCCCGAGAAAGACCUACAAUUUGUCCAAUUUGCUUCAACGACGUGAUAACGCAUCUCACGAGACACCUUUUAAGAUAUCACGGAGGCCACAAAGACGUGAUGGUGAUUAAAAAUCUUACACCACGUAGUAAGGAGCGGUUAGGUAUGAUUAAUGCUUUGAGAAAGCAACCACACUUUCAUCUCAAGGUCGAAAAAAAUAUUCUAAAUCCAAUAAGAAAUUCGAAAUUACCCGAUACACAGUAUUUUCUGUGUUCUUAUUGCUUGGGGCAUUAUUCUAAAAAGUUAUUACAUAUACAUAUCAAGAAAUGUAAGAAUUAACCUGCUGAUAUCAUUAACCCUGGAAAGAAUUGCCUUAGUAAAUCCCAAACAUUUCAAGCAUCAGUUUCAUUAAAAAAUCAUGAUUUCUUACGAAAGCUUCGCAUUAAA